rnacentral:tRNA from 1 species
GCCAAGGUGGCGUAGCCCGGGAAGCUACAUUGCGAAUAUAACGUAAUGUGCACCGAACGCACUAGACUGAAGAUCUAGGUAUCGAGAGUUCAAAUCUCUCCCUUGGCA